ACUCACCAGCCCUGGCUUCACAGGUGGUGACAGCACGGCCCCAGCACCACGAACCACUCAUGUGAACUUCCCUUCUCCCCUGUCACUAGAGGAUCCCAGCACAUCCCAGGAGAGAUGGAGCCUGCCGGAAGACUGAUCCUGAUGCGACACUCUCUUCCCUCCCUGAGCCCCAAUCUCGGGUGGAGGCCACAUCUGUUCCUCCUGCUCUGGGCGCUUCUUCCUUUCUGUUUCCCUUUCAGUGUGGAAGAGUGGCCGCUUGCCCAGCAGGACGGUCCCAAAUAGCAUGGCUUUUCCAGGCACGGUGCUGUCGGCCGCACAGAACAGGACCCUCCCGGCAGCUCCGGCUUGCACAGCAUCCGCCUGUCUGGCCCCUGUGGAAGUAUCUGACUCCCAACGCCCAGACUGGAGCGGGGGCAAAGGACACAGCCCGACCCCAGAGGCACACAGAGCCAGCCCUCCACGGAAGAACGUGCCCAGGAACUGUGGGCUGGGCCUUCCUGCCUCCUCCCCUGCCGCGAAAGCGAUGCCAGGGGCAGGUGAGGGUCGGACGCGCUCAGGCCCAGCCCUCGCCCCUUCAGGUCUGGGGGACACAGUGGAGUCCCAGCCUCAAGAAGUUUCCCCAACCUCUCAGAAACUUGAAGGGCAAUGCCAGGUACCGAAAAACCGGCCCCCGCCCCUUAUCCCCGGCCGACCCGUCCGCCGAGGUGGCUGCCCUGGGAACCUCCUGUUCCUCGUCCAGGAGAGGAAACGCACACCCGGGCCGGACGCACAGAAGCCGCACCCUGGCUGGGGCCACAAGCCUGACAGCUACCGACAAGCCCCCACCCACAGGAGCACGCGACGUGCUCUCUUUUCAAGGGAAAGGUUUUUCUUCCUGGGCCCUGGAAUGGGCCUGAAGUCAGCCGGCCUCAGCCCACAGGGUGAAUGAGGGGUGGGCACAGCCCGGCCGCGGCCCCAGCACACACGGGCGGACGCAGGGGCGGGGGAGCGCCAGCCCCGCAGUGUGUUCGGAGCCCAGCGGCUCUGAGUCGCCGCCACCAGCCUGGCCGCCUUCUGCUCCACGUCUGUUCACCCGUCCCCUGGACCGGCACCGCCACAGAGGGUCAGAGUGUUGGCACCUGUCUUCCGGGUCAGUUCACCCGUCCCCUGGACCGGCACCGCCACAGAGGGUCAGAGUGUUGGCACCUGUCUUCCGGGUCAGUUCACCCGUCCCCUGGACCGGCACCGGCACAGAGGGUCAGAGUGUUGGCACCUGUCUUCCGGAUCUGUUCACCCCUCCCCCGGACCGGCACCGCCACAGAGGGUCAGGAGUGUUGGCACCUGUCUUCCGGGUCAGUUCACCCGUCCCCUGGACCGGCACCGCCACAGAGGGUCAGGAGUGUUGGCACCUGUCUUCCGGAUCUGUUCACCCGUCCCCUGGACCGGCACCGCCACAGAGGGUCAGAGUGUUGGCACCUGUCUUCCGGAUCUGUUCACCCGUCCCCUGGACCGGCACCGCCACAGAGGGUCAGAGUGUUGGCACCUGUCUUCCGGAUCUGUUCACCCGUCCCCUGGACCGGCACCGCCACAGAGGGUCAGAGUGUUGGCACCUGUCUUCCGGAUCUGUUCACCCGUCCCCUGGACCGGCACCGCCACAGAGGGUCAGAGUGUUGGCACCUGUCUUCCGGAUCUGUUCACCCCUCCCCUGGAUCGGCACCGGCACAGAGGGUCAGAGUGUUGGCACCUGUCUUCCGGAUCUGUUCACCCGUCCCCUGGACCGGCACCGCCACAGAGGGUCAGAGUGUUGGCACCUGUCUUCCGGAUCUGUUCACCCCUCGCCUGGACCGGCACCGGCACAGAGGGUCAGAGUGUUGGCACCUGUCUUCCGGAUCUGUUCACCCCUCCCCUGGACCGGCACCGCCACAGAGGGUCAGAGUGUUGGCACCUGUCUUCCGGAUCUGUUCACCCCUCCCCUGGAUCGGCACCGGCACAGAGGGUCAGAGUGUUGGCACCUGUCUUCCGGAUCUGUUCACCCGUCCCCUGGACCGGCACCGGCACAGAGGGUCAGAGUGUUGGCACCUGUCUUCCGGGUCUGUUCACCCGUCCCCUGGACUGGCACCAGCACAGAGGGUCGAGUGUUGGCACCUGUCUUCUGGGUCUCCAUCCCUCCCUUUGUUUGUUGAGUGACUGCAUGUUCUCAUUUCCUUAUCAUACAAUUCUUUGAGAGGUAUCAUUAGCUGCGUCUUAUUUUAUUUUCACCUUCUUUUCUGUUACCUGUAUGUUUGAAUUUUCCUAUAAGUAUUUUUGUUUCAUCUUUGCUUUUUUAAAUUAAAAAAUCAGUUUUAAAAUUGCACCUGCAGUACAAAAUCAGGGUGGCGACCGGGUUGCUGCCAUUCCCUCCCCUCGGGUCUGUGGCUUCUCAGCUCCAGCUCGGGUCACAGACCUGCUGCCACGGCCCCAGGGUGGGCACAGGGCUAGCAGGACAGUCAUGCAGGCAGCCGCGGCCCCAGCGAUUGGUCCAGGAGGAGGGCAGGUGACCACACGCGGCCAAUCACAAUCCUUCCCUGGGAGUUUUUGAACUGGAACAAGAGAGGAAGGACCUCUUCUUUGAUCUGCGUGGGAGGCAAGCCCAGAGUGGCCUGGACAGCCGCUGGGAAGAGAAGGUGGGCAGAGCGGCGGAGGGUGUGCUAAUGGUUGGGUCUGUGGGGCCUGAAACCGGUGCCCCUGCCCAUCCUAUAGUUUGGUGCUUGAGCCAGCACAGUCCCAGGUGUCCCUGACGCCUCCGAGCUGGGUUUCUGUCACUCGCAGCUGCAGCAUUCUGGCACAGACCCUUGGCCCAGGACCCCUGUGCAGAGGUGGGUUUGGGUCUCCCCGGCCCCAGCAGCCCCAGGAGCCUGUGAGAUCUAAGCCGGAAGCUGCUCUGGGCACCUGAGUGCUGACAGCCCGAGUGAUGGGAACAGGCUCGCUACUAUGCAGAGACAGAGAGACUAAUUUUUAUCAGCCAGAUACCUGGCCAGGCCCCAGGGUGGACAAUCUCCAAACCGCAUGCAUCCCGGCACUGACAAAGCCGUCUAUCAUUGCUGGAGCCAGGACACCCGGGGAGGCUGUGCCAGGCCACGGGGUGAGGGAGCUGCCUCCCUCCAGUCCUUCUCCCGUGGGGCACUGAGACGGCUUUCAGCAAGACAAAUGCCCAGGCCACAGGGUGAGGGAGCUGCCGCCCUCCAAUCCUUCUCCCGCGGGGCACCAAAAUGGCUUUCAGCAGGACAAAUGCCCAGGCCAUGGGGUGAGGGAGUUGCCGCCCUCCAGUCCUUCUCCCACGGGGCACCGAGACGGCUUUCAGCAAGACAAAUGCGGCCCUGCCACUCCCUGACCGAGAUAAAGUCUCAGCUCCUGAGCCUGGGGUGCCUGCUGCUCGCCCCCAUCGCCUCUCUGAGCUCCAGCCUCACAGGCACACACCGCUCCCCUGCCCAGAACAUUCUGCCCACAAACUCCUCUUAGCCUCAGGUCCCUGCUGAGUGGCCAUUCCUGCUGGGAGGCAGGAAUUCCCUGAUCUACCCUUCCUGAGUCUGGGAGAGACGCCUCCCAUACCCCCAUGACAGCCCAUCACAAUUGUUCACGGAUCUCUGUGUUCUCCCUCAACAAAUACUUGGCGGACCCCCUGGAGCCACAGCUCAAGGCUUCCUUCCCCCCCACCCCCACACCCUGGGGACAGCAUGUCCAGGACCCCCACGCAGGGCCUGUGUCGAGACGGCAUGUCCAGGACCCCCACGCAGGGCCUGUGUCGAGACGGCAUGUCCAGGACCCCCACGCAGGGCCUGUGUCGAGACGGCAUGUCCCGCCAUCGGGUUUGCUGCUGAAUGAGCAGAUGAUCUAAUGAGUGACCGUCCUCACCCACGAGAAAAAACACAACCUGGUCUCCGUCUGCCGGUUAGAUCGGCCCCCAGUCCUGCUGGCCCCAGCGAUGACAGAGGAGGAGGAAUGAGGAGUGCCGUGCCUGGGCUGGGCCAUCGCCUCUCUCCCUCGGCUGGGUUUGUCAUGCUCAGCCAGACCCGCUCCCGGUGGAGAGGCCGAGGGACCCUCAUUUCUACGUUUGCAUCCCUUUCUUCCAGGGCCUGCGGGGCUGACAGGCACACAGCCAGUGGUGAAGGUUCACGGAAGAACGAAGGAAGGAGUGAGCGUGGGGAGAGCCAGCCAGGCUCCCCAUGUCCACCCAGAUGGUGAGCUGGCCCUGCCCUGGAGACACUGUGUCCAGAGGCCAGCAUAGCCCUCAAAACGGUUCCCACAGCUCCCAGCGGAGCCCUCAAAAUGGUCCCCACAGCUGCCGCCCACUCUUGGGACCCUGAGUGUGGGGAGGCUGGGGUUGAGCAGUGGGGAUCAGGAUCUGGCAGGAUCGGAAUGUAGAGGCCUGGGGGCUCCCGGCUGGGGACAGUGCCAGCAGGAGUGGCCGGGACGAUGACGAGGUGAGGUGUCUGCUCCCAGGCUGUGUGUGGCUUGGAUGCCAAAGCGCCUUUUGCUGUAUUCGGCACCCUGAGACCCUUAUGUCUGCCUAUUGAAGGCACAGUUUACUCCCGGGAAAAUAAACAUUUGGGUUUAUUUCGCUGUGACUGCA